rnacentral:tRNA from 1 species
ACUCUGAUAGUGUAAUGGCAGCAUCUCAGUCUCCAAAACUUAUGGUAUAGGUUCGAAUCCUGUUCGGAGUGCAA